GAUGAAGAACGUAGCGAAAUGCGAUACGUAAUGUGAAUUGCAGAAUUCAGUGAAUCAUCGAAUCUUUGAACGCACAUUGCGCCUGCCAGCACUCUGGCAGGCAUGCCUGUUCGAGCGUCAUUUCAACCAUCAAGCCCUAGGCUUGCGUUGGAGCCCUGCGGCUGCCGCAGGCCCCUAAAAGCAGUGGCGGGCUCGCUAUCACACCGAGUGCAGUAGAUUACUCUUCGCUCAGGGCGUGUGGCGGGUUCCAGCCGUGAAACCCCCUACUUCUCAAGGUUGACCUCGGAUCAGGUAGGAAUACCUGCUGAACUUAAGCAUAUCAAUAAGCGGAGGA
rnacentral:misc_RNA from 1 species